rnacentral:tRNA from 2 species
GGAGGGGUUCCCGAGUGGCCAAAGGGAUCAGACUGUAAAUCUGCUGGCUCUGCCUUCGGUGGUUCGAAUCCACCUCCCUCCACCA